AGAGUUUGAUCAUGGCUCAGAUUGAACGCUGGCGGCAGGCCUAACACAUGCAAGUCGAGCGGAUGAAGGGAGCUUGCUCCUGGAUUCAGCGGCGGACGGGUGAGUAAUGCCUAGGAAUCUGCCUGGUAGUGGGGGAUAACGUCCGGAAACGGGCGCUAAUACCGCAUACGUCCUGAGGGAGAAAGUGGGGGAUCUUCGGGCCUCACGCUAUCAGAUGAGCCUAGGUCGGAUUAGCUAGUUGGUGGGGUAAAGGCCUACCAAGGCGACGAUCCGUAACUGGUCUGAGAGGAUGAUCAGUCACACUGGAACUGAGACACGGUCCAGACUCCUACGGGAGGCAGCAGUGGGGAAUAUUGGACAAUGGGCGAAAGCCUGAUCCAGCCAUGCCGCGUGUGUGAGGAAGGUCUUCGGAUUGUAAAGCACUUUAGUUGGGAGGAAGGGCAGUAAGUUAAUACUUGCUGUUUUGACGUUACCAACAGAAUAAGCACCGGCUAACUUCGUGCCAGCAGCCGCGGUAAUACGAAAGGGUGCAAGCGGUUAUCGGAAUUACUGGGCGUAAAGCGCGCGUAAGUGGUUCAGCAAGUGGGAUGUGAAAUCCCGGGCUCAACCUGGGAACUGCAUCCAAAACUACUGAGCUAGAGUACGGUAGAGGUGGGUGGAAUUUUCUGUGGAGCGGUGAAUUGCGUAGAUUUAGGAAAGGACCACAGUGGCCGAAGGGAACACCUGGACUGAAC
rnacentral:rRNA from 1 species